GAUUAAAUGCCCUCUCACAGUGAACACUGUCUUUCAGGCACUGGUGUGAGCAAAUAGUUGUAGCAACAGGUGUACAAGGCAUUAGAGGCAGCUACGAUUCUAUGUGUUUU